CUUCGACUCCGGUGAGCUCUCCACCGGCUUCAGUACCCAAAGCUGCUACACCGCCAUCUCCGGUAGCCGAUGCACCGGCUCCAAGCAAGGGUAAGAAGCAUCAAAACGCGACGGCUCCGGCUCCUGAACUUGACAGCCCACCUUCACCACCGAUGGAAGCUCCUGGUCCUAGCUCCGACGCCGUGUCUCCUGGUCCGGCCACAUCCGCCGACGAAAAGGUAAACUAGCAUAAUAUUAAAUCAACAAAAUAUUGAAACAUGAAAACAUUCAUUCUCCUUUUAUUAGUUUAAAAAGAAAACAUUCAUUUCAAUAUUCGUUGUAAUUAUGUUGUAUAUUAAUAUGGAAUUAUUAUUAAUGCAGAGUGGAGCCGAGAGCACAAGUGUAUUGCGGAAUUUAGCAGCGGUGGGAGCGGCUGCAACCGCCUGGGCCGUUCUCGUUAUGGCCUUUUAAAUUAUUUUAGUUAUCAUUUCGCUCCUUCAUUUGUAGCAUCUUUUUUUUGAACCAACGAUUGUCUUUUCGCGUUUGAGUGAUGAGUAUUAUUUAAUUGAUUAUUACAGUUUGUUUUCUUUAUUUUCAUUUGGCAGACAAAUUGAUUUUUCUUAUUUUGGCAGCCAAAUAUAGUCUUCUUUAGUGAUGGGUCCGAUUUCUUCAUCGAAAAUGACACAUUAAAAUUUGAUGCAGACCUAAUAUAUCAAACUGUGAAAUUGUUCUAAUGUUUAUUUCAACGUAUAUGAACAAUAAGCAAAUCAGUGUAACUGUUUUUAGAUGUUUAUAUUGCUGAGUGCAUUAACUAAUUUACUGAUACCACAUGUGGAUUCAAGACGUAUUAUGGAAGGCGUAGGUUCAUUUGCCUCCAAUAGAUUUAAUUUUUUUUUUUUUGUAAAUUUCGGAUGAUUGAAGGAUCGAUUCUCUGAAUGCCAAAUUGUCUCUACUCAAUUACGAUUCUUUCCAUCAAAUCCUUGUUUUUCCUUUUCUUUCAAAUAUUUGUUUCCUAGCUAUCCUAAAAUAGCUACAUUGAACGCUACUAUAUGUCUCGUUUUCUAUAAAUAUCUAAAACUCAUUGAUGUAACAUAUUCUGUAUACGAUAACAUAUCUUAAAUUUUUAUGCUCCCAGUAAUAUAUAUUGCUAAUCUGUCAAUGUGAAUCAAAAUUAAUACAUGAUAUUUUCCUUGCUAAACUUUUGGUUAGUUUCUUCAAAUGACCAAUUUAUUAUACCGUUUGAUUGAAAGUACAAAGAGAGAGGAGGGUGAGAAGUACACUUUACGACCGUACUUUGAUUAAAAUUACAUUACUGCAUUUUGAAUAAUGAAAUACUAGGGUAAGACCCAGAAAUGAACAUUAUAUAUCAAUUAUUUUUUUAUGUAUUAUAUAUCAUUUUACAUAUUGUGAAAUAAUAAAUAUAUAUUAAAUAAUUAAAAAUUCAGUAACUAUUACGUAUAUAAUUAAAUUGGUGCAAAAACAUAAAUAAAAUUUUCUGAUCCAAACAAACACUUUUUAUAUUUGCUAUGAUAUAUACUUAAAUUUAAAUAAUACUAACAAAAAUAUAUAAUAUUUUGUUAAUAUUGAUAUCUAUUAAAUAAUAGUUUCUACUCAUAUUGUUUUUUGAUCAUUUGUAAGAGUGUUAAGAUUAAUAUAUACAUAUAUUUUAGCUACAUUAGGCAAUUUCAAAAUUAAAUUAUUUAUGUAUUCUUAUAUGGUAUGAUAGUUUAAUUUAAAUGAUAUAAAUAUAUUCAUAAAUAUCUGUAUACAUUAAUUUUAAUAUUUACAUAAAUAUAUGUAUAUAUUAAUCUUAAUAUUUAUUAAAUGAGAUCUUCUUGUAUCUUGUCAUAAUAAAAAAUUUAAACCAUAGAUCACAUAAAUUUUAAUAUGAUAUUUUUAACAGUUUUAGUAAUUUAUACUCUUUUUAAAAAAUUCAAAAUAUAACAUAUAUGGAAAAUCUAAAUUUUUUAUAUGGUUAAUUUUAUUGUUUAAUAUAUUUUAAUAAGUUCAAAAAAUUUUAAAAAUAAUAAAAGAUACACUAAUUUUUAUCAAAUCUUUAUUAUUCAAAAUUAUUAAUUAUCAUAUAUAUUUUAGCUAGAUUAGGCAAUUUUGUAAAUUUUUAUUUAAGGAAAGAAUAAAAAAUAAUAAUUUAUUUAUGGUUAGUUUAGUAAAAGUUUAUUUUAUUGUGGAGAUGACAUAUGGAUACCUCAAAUGUUGUAAAUACUUUUCUUUUUGUAUACAAGAGAUAUUCAUAGAGAAUAGUAGGUAAACUCAAUUUUCAAGCAAAGUUAUUCUAAAAGCUUAAAAAGUAUUUACAGACGUUACAAAAGACUGUCCACACAAAUAAAAACGUUACAAAAGAGCAAAGAGAACAUCUUUUAAUGAAAAUGCCUUUGUUGUUGUUAAGUUUUCCAUGGGAAAAAGUUUAGUAGAAUAUGAACAAAAGCUUAAUCUUUCAGAUUAAGUAAAGUGUUAUAAUAAUUCUUGUAAUUAAUUAAUACAAACUAGACAAAUAAUUUUGUUAGUGAGCUUAAAUCAAAGGCUAAAAAAAAGUUAUUUUUAUCAUCUUUAACUUUUAGAAAGCACAAGUUAUACUUAAACCAAGGUCUUGUGCAUGAGAUUUCGAGAUUCUUAGCUUUGCAAAAGACCUAAACCCACCAAGCCAAGCCACUGAUUCCUCCACAUCAAAUACAAAUAUGCAUGACAGUUCACUAUCAUAUUUCUUCUUUAGACUAUCUUCUAGACGAUAUGGGAGGUUCACUGGGCUUUCUCGGAAAAGGUUUUGUGUUUCUUAACCUAACAAUCAACGAUUAACAUUAUAUAAGACCGUUUUAAUGGUAUUCCUUUUAUUUAUUAGAAAGAAAAAUAAGUUUUUCGGUAUUUUUUGGCAUAUAGGGGUACCACCGACGCAGAUGAUGAAUAUGGUUAUGGGUUCACUCUACAAACAAUUCACCAAGAAAGCUAUCAACAACUUUGACGACUUCCACGUUGCUGUUUUAGACAUCUUCAAGUAAGAAUCAUUCGAUGGUUACAUUCCAUUUGAUCAGUUCUUCUUUAGAUAAGAUAUGAUCAACAAUAUAACUAUAUGUUUGAUGUGCAGCAACUUCAACUCGGCUUUACCAGGCCGACACUUUGAUCUCCCGACACCUGAUGAAAUAAAGGCAAGAAUUGACCUUUUUAAUUCUCCACGUAAAAUUGUUAACUAAUGAAUGAAGCCCAAGUUAUCGCCAAUUUGUUUUAAAUUAGUCCAUAAGAAACUUUAAAUCAUUAUAACUAUUUUCUCUAAUACAAUGUUGAUUAAGUUAGGCAUGUUUCUUGGGGUGGAAGGAAGCUAAAGACGAGGAAGAGAAGAAGAAAGUGUUCACAGAGUUCAUUGCAAAGAAAGUGAAGCCAAGUAAACUCGAUGACGUCACUAUGAUCACCGGAAUAGCAUCUCCUCCGGCGGCUAUGGCGGCUAAGAGAGCAGGAGAGAAUAUUCCUCAACUAAAGUUCAUCAAACUUAUACCUGAUGUUAUAUUCGUCCCUACGGUCACCAUUUUGGCCAUUGUCUCUGCUAAACUCUCAAGAAGAAUGUAUUUGAAAUAAUGCUUUUAACUUAAACAUUCUUUAUUUUCCUAUUUUAACUUUCUAAGUUAGAAGCAAGCUCCAAAGUUGAUUUAUAACACCAUUAAAACGCUGCAAUUCUAUAUAACAUCUCUGUACUUUAAAGCUUAAGGAUGCCUAGAAGUCAACACAUAAAAUUAUUAAACCCAAGGUCAGUCUUGUUUUAUUGAAACUUCCCAAACCAUUUUAGGUUCUUUUUCUUGAUCCAGCAGAGCCUCAUGACCUUCGUUUCCCUCGCUUUCUCUGCCUGUUAGGACGCUUAUUAGGCCUAGAAGGCAUCGAAGCCCAAGAUUGCGUGGCUUUCUGUUACUUACCUGCUUAUUGAGUUUAUUGAAAAAAGGAUAUGAGAAACAAAAGGUGUAAUGGAGUUUUUUGUAAAGUUUUGCAGAAACUUACAAGGUCUUGAUGGACCUUCCCCAGCUGAAGCUUGUUCUGUCUUCUUACCGAGAACAAUGCCUUUCCCUUCUCUUUGCCUUGAAGCCAUCAUUUCAGACAAUAAUAUAUCUGUUGUCCCGUCAUCGUCUUAAAGUUCUUAUUCUUUUUAUCAUCAUUCAUCUCUACCUUCGACUCCAUACCCAAAAUCCCUAGAAAAUGCCAAAAUCAGCAGAUACGCUUAUGCCCAAAUUUGGAAAAACACGAAACCCUAACCAAAGUUUGAAGCUCAUAUGAUCAAACAAACCAAAUUAGAUGCAAAACAACAGAGAUUCUAAUGGAAAAUUAAUUACCAAUUGGAAUCUUCACCAAUUAAGCGGCGGACCGAAACAGAGAUAAAUUCAAAAACCGGCGGUGAGAAUCAUGACGGAGAAACCAUAUAACCAAACGGUGGUUCAAGGUUUCCUAUAUCACAAGUGGGGUCCACUUCAGUCCAGGUCUUUGACUUUUUCUGUUUUAUCUUUUUGACAAUUAAUUGUUGUUGUGUAUUAUACAAUAUAUUUGUCCUAAAAUAAUAUGUUUGGAUUCUGUCAGAAUAUUAUAUUCCCUUUCUCAAACUAGGGCACGUGAAAAAUCUCUUUCGCAAAUUUGACUGACCCCAUAGUUUAUUUCUUUCUUUCUUUCAAUCCAAAGUCCAAACCACCGCCUCGCCUGUAAAGGAUGAGUGCUCUGAACCGAACCUUGAGCUCAUCAAUGUCGUUGAAACUCAACACCCUCACCCCUUUCCCAAUUUUCGCGUUACCAAAUUCGAAACCAAGCGAGAUUCGAUUCUCCAACAGAUGGGGGCAGCGAAAAGUCGAACGAUCUCUCUCUCACUCUCUCGCUCUCUUGGAUCAUCAAAGCUGCACAAGAAGAAGGGAUCAAAUUCAUUGCGGAGGAGGAGGUCGGUAGUGGAUGGAUUCAAAUUUAUUUGUGAUUUUUUCCGUCGUUGUUGUCCCUAGAUUAGAUUUAAAAUGGUGGUUGUGUUUGGUUAGGUGAUCAUCAUCAUGUGGGAGUGUGGUGGGACCUGAACACCUGUCCUCUUCCGGCUGGUGUAGACCCUCGUUGUGUCCGUCCGUGUAUAGAAUCUGCCUUGGAGAAGCUGUUUGGUCGUCGUUCUGCAGUCAGCAUCUAUAUCUAUGCCAUAGGAAACCUAGAAUUCAUCUCUAGUGACCUCUUGCAAAACAUCUCUUCCUCCGGAAUCAUUCUUACUCAUGCCCCCUGCGGUAAAGUCAAUCAAAUCAAUCCUAAUCGAUUUGUUUUGUUUAGUCUAAUUAAUUAGAGAGAGUUAGUAGUCUCAUGAUCUGAUCUGGCCUCCUUCUCUACUCUUAGGUAUGCACGACUUACAUGAUUUUCUUGUCGACUGGUCUGAGGAUGAGCUUAAAAACCCACAUCCUCCUGGUUACGUAAUGAUCAUCUCGAGUGAUUAUAAACUGCUUUACCCUGAGCGUUUUCGGCUUUUUCGAUUCACUACUUUUGUUGCAUAUCCAAAAGGUGUUCGCCUACUUGCCCAUCUUACCCAGCUAAAAUGUCUUGGCCAAGAGUUUGACGAAGUGUUUGCCAAAGAGUUUGUCUGGGAAACCUUAUUGAGUGAUAAUUUGGAUGAAACUUUAUUAUUGAGUGACAACAACACAUGUGAUGAGAAACCUCUCUGCAUUUGCAACAUAUGCUGUUAUGAUUACGAAGUAUGUGACGAAUUCAUCACUCAUCUCAAGUGUGAAGAGCACAGAAACCAGGUAAUUAAGGAAGCAGCAUGCAUCCUCAGCUUUUUUUUUUUAUCAUUUUUUUUCAUGUAAUCUGUGUGUGUGUGCAGUGGUCUGAAAUUGUGCACGACCGCAAGCUUAAAUAUUUUUGCCAAGUUUGCAAUUAUCCCGCCUAUAGCCACUAUAACCUCUUUCUCCAUAACCAAAGUGAAGCACAUAAUCGCAAGGUAAGCGCAGCUUGUGAUCAUUAUUAUACAUUUUAACAACUCUCUGUAUCACUAAAAUUUGAUCCCCAUUUUGGUUUGUUUUCAAGCUGGUUGAGAAACAGGCUCAAGAAGAGGAGGAUUGCCAGAGCAGGAAGACAAAUCCAGAAUUGGAUCUCUUCUACGAGAGAAACAAGGAGCAAUCUCUUUGAACCAAGGCAGCCUAAGGAAGAAGCAGCAGCUAGAGUGCGUGCAUCCCCAUGGGGUUUUUGUGUUAAAGAGUUUUACUAAAUAAUGGACUACUUAAUUAUUAUUAUUAUUAUGCUGAAUACUUUGUUCUUCUACCACUCAAAAUAUUUUCAAGUCUGGUUUGUUUUUCUUUUUUUUCAUUUUUAAUUAUUACAUGACAAGAUUUAUUCGUAUGUGAAACUUAAAACAAACUCACUUAGAAAGAAAUUUCAUUUCUAUCUUUGCACAUAUUUUUGUCUUUUAUUUUUGAUUUCUAGGAUUACUUUUUUUUUUUUUUUAUCUUUAUGAAAAUUAAUGUGUAUUAUCGUACACAACGUUUAUACAAAGAUAUUGUCCUAAUUAUGUUGGAUUCUGUCAGAAUAUUUUAUUCCCUUUCUCUAAACUAGGGCACGUGAAAAUCUUUGUUGUUGUAUUGAUCAUAAUCAAAUUAAUUUUACUUCUUUUUCAAUCAUUUUUCCUACACAUUUUUUUUAGAUAUUAGACUAAAAUAGUUGUACAUAUUUUGGAACCAUAGAGCGAAGAUGUAUAGGAGAUUAUAUCAGCUAGCCACAUCCAUGUCAAGGCGAUUCAGUGUCCGGACCGGCAUUGUCGAUUAAUCUCGUUUGGAGAGAUGGUAACUAAAUUCCUUGUAACUUUUUUUUUUUGAUCAAAAUUUCCUUGUAACUUUGCCCAUCUUAUUCACUAUACUAACGGUUCGGACCAUUAGCAGUAUAAUAUAUCUAAACAUUAACAUUAUCGAUGACAUAUAUUUUUCUUUUUAUUCAACUAUGUGAGCAGCAAAAAAAAUAUGCAAAAUACAACUAUUGACACUUUUGAAUCGCAACUAAGGGGACUGGUGAUAUGUGAGGAGAAUCAAGAGAUUAUUUGUAUAUAUGCUUUAAGUUUUUUCAUGUAAGUAACAACUAACAAGGAAGCAGUGUUUUCUCUUCAUUUUGGUUAUUCACUGGUGAGAGCAAUGACACUGGACAUUUUCUAUCUAAUUUACGUUCUCUAUUUGAUAACUAUUCAGAACCUACGGGGAUAUGGCAUGUGCUUAUUAUCUAUGAAUAUGAAUAGUACUUAUAUAGCUCAUUAUGCUCGACCGUGUGUGCAAUGUAGCUAUCUUCCAAUAUUAUUUUUGUUACGCCCCGACUGUCCACUGCUAAUGGGCCACCCACACCUGUUCACUCGGCCCGUGUGUUACAUUCCGUCCGAUGGGAAGUUCGUUAAUUUUUUCAAGGCCCAUAAGUCUUAUUUACUGACCAUGCAAUCACCACAUGACAUUUCCCUAUGUUUUGACCUCAUUUCACUACUCCAAUCCAGCACGCUUGACUCUGGAAUUCGAAACGGAUGUGUGACGAAAAAGAUAAGUCAACUUUGAUAACAAGAGAUAGUCAAAUCAAUUUUCUUAAGCCUUUUCCAUAUAUCAUAACUGGAGAUGUUACAAUUCACCUUCUCUCAAAAAACGCAACGCUCUCGUUGCGUCCCACGACAGGUCUCAAGACGUCUUUCGGGUCAGAACCGAGAUGGCUAACCAGCUCUUACCACUUGUAACACCCCGACCGUCUACGGUUAAUGGACCACCCACGUCCGCUCACUCGGCAUGUGGGCCCCAUCCCGUCCGACGGGGGAUGCGUUAACUUAUCCAAGGCCCAAAAGUCUUAUUUACUGACCAUGCAAUCACCAUCCGAUCUUUCUCCAUGUUUUGGCCUCACUCGCAUGGUCUCGCGAAUCACUUCCCGAUAUAUCACCCAUCCUUUCACUACGCCAGCCCAAGCACGAUUAACUCUAGAGUUCUAAACGGAUGUGUGACGGAAAAGAUAAGUCAACUUUGGUAACAUACAUAGCCAAAUCAAUUAUCUUAAGCAUUUAUAAUAUAUCACAACUCGGGAUGUUACAAUUUUACUUUUUUCUCUUUUUCAUCAGAUUUAAUAUAUGUUGCGUUUUAUAUAAGAACAAUUUCAAAAAAGAUAUAUAGUUAAAUAUCAAUGAUAAAUGAUGAAAAUCUGUUGACAAGUGGAUGAACCACUUUUUCUUUGACAUCUUUCUGUAUGAACAAAAGUUUAGAGAUGAUAAUUACAUUAUUUUCAGGAUGUGAUAGAUCUUUUUAAAAAAAUCUAUUUUAUUCUAAGUUUCAAGAAUAAAGUAACUAAAUUUUGAAAAGAAAUUAAAAAUUUUAAUCCUAUUUUUAGGUUUAAUAUCAAAUUUAGUUUGUUUUAUGAAAAUUAAAUAUAACUUAUUUCUUUUUCAAUUAAAAUUAAGAUUUUUUAAAAAAUUUUAAUCUAUAAUUUAGUUAAUUUCAUCAUGAAAAUUAAAAUAAAAUUAGAAAAUUUUAAGAUUUGUUUUUCAAUUUUUCAAUUUUGAAUUUCUUUUAAAAUUUAUUAAGAUUCUUGAUUAGAGUGAAUACAGUUGGGUAUGAGCAUGGUUUUGAAAUUUUGUGUAUUUAAAAAGAAUAAAAUAAUUAUUCUUUAUUUUAAAUUGGGUAUUUAAAAAGUUCGGAUAUUUAAAAAAUUCAUAAAAGUUAAUCUGGAUAUUUAUAUGGAAUCUUCUUGCUUAUAUCAUAAGUUACUUGUUUAGUAUAUAAUAUAUGUUAUAAUUUAUAUAUAAUAAAUAUACAGCAGAUAAUUAAUAGUGACUAUUUAUAUAUUGAUUUUAAUAUAUCCACAAUUACCAUAUACAAUUUAAUUUUACAACAGUACAAUGAUAAAAUCUGUAUUGCCUUUGAACCAGUCACCCCUAUAUUACUUAUGACCCCUGGUGGAUCUAGGUGGAACAAGAAGGGUGCAACCGCCCCCAGUAAAAAUUACAACUAAAAUUAAAUACAUCAGAAUUUUUAUAUAUCUUGCAAUCUAGUUGGUUAAAUUCUUUUAUUUGCAUCCACUAAACCAAUGUUAGAACAACACUAUAUCUUUUUCACUAUUUUUGCCUCCAUUCAUUAUAUUUUCUAGAUCCGCUACUGCUUAUGACCUGGUGGAUAAGAGAUGGAUUAAGAAAAUAACAAUUUUAGUAACCUUAUCUAAAUUUAAUUUAUUAAAAUUUAAUAAUAUUAUUAAAUACAAAUUACUGCUAAAAUCUACAAGCUUUUGGACAUAUUAAGCCUUCUCAGAACUAUAUAAAUACUAUUAUAAACGCAACUGGAAAUGAAUAAGUGAAGAAAAACAUUGUAGAAAUAAGGUGAAAACUAAAGAAAAAAAUGGGGAGAGUGAAAAUACAGAUGAGAAAAAUAGUGGAUAGACAACAAAGAAAUAUUGCAUUUGCCAAAAGAAAAAGCGGGCUUCUGAAAAAAGCUUAUGAACUCUUUAUUCUCUGUGAUGUUCAAAUGGUUCUCAUUUUCUUCUCACCUUCUGGUAAACUUUUCCUGUUUGAUACGAAAACAAGGUAUUGUUUCCUUGUCAAAACUUUGUUUAAAUCUCAUUUAUAAUCUUGUAAUUCUUAUAUUUACUAUUUCAUCAAAAGUGGGUUUUUGAUAUCAAAUCAUCGGUAUUCUUUUAAUUUUUCUUCCGUAUCAAUUUUAAUAUGUUGUUAAAUAUAUAAUAGGAUGGAAGAGACUAUAAAGAAGUAUGUGGAUGUGCCUAUACGUCCAAGGUAAAUUUGUUGUGUUAAUGCAUGAAGGAACUUACAACAAUAGCCAGUUUUAUUAUGCUAACUUAAUAAACAUCUAUAUGUGCAUGGCCUAUUGGAAUUGUAACUGGUCGGUUCAACUAACAGACUCCAAGUCCAAGAGGAAGCGGUAAGUAUCCUCAUAAUAACCAAGCCAAUUACAUAAUUAUUUUGGACAUUAAAAUAUCCUUAUCAUUAUAUCUAAUUUGGAUCUUUUUCUUAUUGAUAUGGGGAUAUAGUUUAUACGACGGUGGAUAGAUAUCAUGCGUAUAGAAUCACAAUAUCCUGAAUCGAUCGUGAGGUUAUAAUGAAUUCACUUUAAAUCGAUUCUAUUGAAAUUAUAUAAUUCUUUGCUUUAUACUUCACUUAUAUUGUAGUAUUUUAUGACAAGUACUAUGUUUAAUUCUAUUUUAAUAGGCCCAGAGAAAAUUUUGGCGAUGGGAUUCUUUCUCAAGCUCGAUCAAAGGUAUGUGGAUAGACGUUUUUCUAAUUAUUUGGAAUUACUUUAUAUAUAGGAAUCCACUUUAUGCAUGGUUUUAUUUAAUUCGUUUAUAGUUUAACCAUUCAAUUCUCUCUAAACAGGAGAUAGAAGACGAAAUCUCCAAAUGCAAAGCCGAAAUGGCGAAAGUGGAACAACAGUUAGGGUAUUCAUCUUAUUGUAUACAUAUGAUUAGUACAUAUUUUAAAAACAUACCGGUAUCGUUCAUUUGUAUAUCUUUAAUGCUAUUUAUUCUAUUUUAUUUUCAAAUUAAGGUACUUUUUAAAACAUCCAAAUCAGUGGACAACAAGAGAUGACAUUGAGUAUCAAGAGAAAAUACUCGAGGAGACGUUGGAUAAAGUUCGAUCUCGGAAGGUAAAUUGAUGAUAAUACAAAAAUGGGUCUUAAACUUAAGUUUUAGUAACAUUGUUAAGCAAAAAAAAAAANNNNNNNNNNNNNNNNNNNNNNNNNNNNNNNNNNNNNNNNNNNNNNNNNNNNNNNNNNNNNNNNNNNNNNNNNNNNNNNNNNNNNNNNNNNNNNNNNNNNCAACCUAGUUGUCCGCUGCAUCACUACUCCAUGCAAUGCAAGUAAAGGCAAUCACGCUUCUAUUAUUUAGUAUCAUUUAGUAUACUUUUCCUAAGAAAACCAUGUCCUUUUUCUAUUCCACAAAACAUGAUAAAUAAUUUCACUAUGUAUGCCUUAAACGGUUUCUGUUAAAAAUAAAGUAAAUACGAACUUUAAGAAUAUGCAAUGGAAUAAUUCAUUUACAUUAUUUUAAUUUGAUUGUUUCAAAGAAAGGAAAAUAAGAAAACAAAGAUGUUAAGCUCAGUAACUUGUUCUUCACAAUUUUCAAGCUGUCUCCUAGCUCGAGGUUGAAAAUUGUAGAGAUUGCCAAUCAUUUCCAGUGACACAUUCCAUGAUAGCAUCUUUUUUUUUUUAUCAUAUACAGAUAUACUAUAUAUAUACAUAUAUAUUAAUCGUGCCUGUAUCAAGAUAACAAUUUCCCAUUAACUAUAAUUUGAUAAUUUUGAUCGGGUCAUUUGGUUAUUAAAGAUUUACCCCCUAUGUUUAGAAAUAUUUUUCACUUAUUAAAAAAAUAUAUUAGAUUUUAGUUACCAAUACAUUAUUUUCUGUAAUUAGCUAUUCUCCAUAACUUUUAACCAAUAGAAUUUUAAUAAACACAAUUAUGUUUUUUGAAAUUUACAAUUUGUAAUUAAUUUAUGUAGUGAAAAUGUAUUUUUUGAAACAAUUUUUUUUCUAAAACACAUUUCCUCCGUUUUAUUUUAGUUGUUGUUUUUAAGUUUAUGCACAAAGAUUAAUAAAACAUAUGAUUUUAUAUAUUUCCACACCUAACUAUAUUUCAACCAAUAUAAAAAUAAGUAGAAAAUUUUAUUAAUAAGUUUUACAUUGAAAUUCUAAAACAAUAUUUAUUUUGAAAUAAAUUUUUUUCUCUAUAACGAUAAUUAAAUAGAAAUGGAAGGAGUAUAUCUUUCGGUAACAGAAAGAGUGCGAUUUAUUUAUAUAUUUUACGCAUAACAAGCAAAUGGUUGAAUCGUCUUCCUCGAAUAUAUGCUUUUACAAAAAAAAAACAAGUAAUCACUGCAGACAAGAGGAAGGAGCAGAUCGGAACGCAACAAAACAAAAAAUACAAUUCUUAUUUAUACUUGUGGAAGGUCAUUUGUUAAUAUAACAUUCAAUUUGGAUAUAGAGAUUAAGCAAGUCAGUCCAUAAUUGGUAUUAUUUGUAUCCACCAAAGCUUUGGCUAUGAUUAAGGGAUGUGUGCAGAACAGUAUUAAAAGCAGAACGGACGUAAUUACAUGAAAUCACCAUUCAUCACAUCACUUUUGUGGAUUAGUAAACAGUAGUGGAGUCAUCUGCUCUACAGCUCUAUAAGUGGAAUCGCAAGUUUUGCAAUAUGCAACAUUUAAUAUUGCUUUAAAGCAAAAUAAAAAAAACAUUUAAUAUUUGCAAAAUCACUUUUGAAGGUGACAAUAGUCUGGUCCGUAACUUGAUCUAAAACAAAGAAACUUUAACCUACAGAACUGGAUCCGUGAAAUCAGAAUAACCUACAAAAGAAAGAAAAAUUAUAUUUUGUUGUUUAUUUUUAUGUUUGUCCUGUAUUUUAACAAUCUCCACGAGGAUUACUCAGUUUCAGGUUACCGUAAAAAAAAAUAGCAUUGUUCUACAGUUCUACUAGAGGCCCGAUCGAAAAAAGAAGAAGAAGAUAGGCAUGUUAAUUUUAUCCUAUUACAUUAUAUAUUAGAUAUACUACAGCCAAAAAAUAACUAGAUAUAUAUCAUAUAAUGUCUUGUUAAAAAUAAUAUUUAUAAAAUAUUUAUUUAAGGAAAAUAUAUUUAAAAUGAAGCUUAUGAUUUUGCAUUGACAAAUGUUUUGAAUUAAAAUAACACAAAUGGAUGUAAAUAUACUAAAACGACCAAAAUGGGAGGACUCGUGCGUCUUCUAGUGUUUGAUACUUAUAGUAUUUAUUUCUAUACAAAUCGAAUUAUCAUGUGCCAUGUGGUCGAGAGAACAAAGAGUAACACGAAAGGGAAUCUUUUUUCCUGUAAAGUGUAUUUUUCAAUAAUAUUGAUCACGUUAUUGUAUCUCUGGUCUAUUGCCAUGAUUACAUGUUUCUCAACUCUUCAUGGUUUAGUUUCACUUUUCCUCGGAAGUUACUCGUGCUAUAGAGAAAGUAUGAGUAUCCAAUGUAACAAAGAUUCCAAGAAAAAUCUAACUUAUACUGGAUUAAAAAAAAACAAUUCAAACCAUAUUUGCUGCAAAAUUAUAAAAUACAAAACUUUGUUUAUGGAGAAGGAAAAUAACAAAGUUAAAACUUUGUUUGCAGAUAAAUCUUCACUUUGGAGAGCAUCGUCAAAUUCACUUCUCUUGAUGCCUUAUGUAAUAAUAUAUAUGGCUUUCGGAAAAUUUGUCUACUGAUGUUGGUUUUCUUUGGUUAUUCCAAAUUUGUAUAAUGAGUUUUUUAUCUUUAAGAUCAAUAAAAUUCUAAUUUUGUCGGAAUUUCUUUUUACAAAAAACUACUUAUGAUACGUGGAUAUAUUUUGGUUGUAAAACUACAAAAGCAAACUGAAUCCAAGUAAAAAAAAAAACCAUAACAAACAAAAUUUUCGAUAAAGAUGUAUGCAGGGCUUUUAAUAUAUCUCACUGUAAUAUAAUGGGCUUUUAAAUGGGCUUUAAAGACCCAAAACAUUACACUAAAAACCUUCGAUCCAGCAAAGAAUCUCCCCGCCACGGUAUCGCGAAAAUCUACACCACCUUAUCCAAUGGGAACACAGACUCACUCCUCUCCUCUUCACCAUUUCCUUUCUCCCACCGCUGCAAUCAAAAUCGCGCCUUGCGCGACCCAAGUUUCUACAACUCAAUGGAGCUUUGUUCUUCAUCUUCUUCUCUCCUCCGCGUCUCACCCGAAAAACUCUCCUUCUCUUCCUCAAUCUCAAUCUCUCAGUUCCAGCUAAAGCCCUCGACUUUCGCCAAACCCAGACUCCGAAUCCACGCCUCCCUCGCUUCCGAGACUCAGGGCCUCCCACGAGACAGCCCUCAGCGUCUCCUCAAGGAGCUCGCCCAGCGCAAACAAUCCACCACCACUCCCUCCAAGAAGAAACUCCCUCCCAAACGCUUCAUCCUAAGGCCACCACUAGACGACAAAAAGCUAGCAGAGAGGUUCCUCAACAGCCCGCAGCUCUCUCUAAAGUCCUUCCCUUUACUCAGCUCCUGCCUCCCUCCUUCGAACCUCAACUCCUCCGACAGAACAUGGAUCGACGAGUACCUCCUCGAAGCCAAACAAGCUUUAGGCUACUCCCUCGAACCUUCCUCGACCCUAAGCGACGAGAAUCCUGCGAAGCAUUUCGACACGUUGCUCUAUUUAGCGUUUCAGCAUCCGUCGUGUGACAGGGCACGUGCGAGGCACGUGAAGAACGGGCACUCGAGGCUUUGGUUUUUGGGGCAGUAUGUGAUUGAGCUUGCGGUUACUGAGUUUUUCUUGCAGAGGUAUCCGAGGGAGCCUCCGGGGCCUAUGAGGGAGAGAGUGUUUGCCUUGAUUGGGAAGAGGUUUCUUCCGAGGUGGAUCAAAGCGGCUAACUUGCAGAAUCUUGUCUUUCCUUAUGAUGAUAUUGAUAAGUUGCUUAGGAAAGAUCGUGAGCCAGUGGUUAAGUAAGUUUCCUCUCUUGUUGAAGUUGCUUUGACCUGAGAGUUGAAUCUUUAGUCAAGAGUUUGAGUUUUUUAUCUGCUUUUGUUGUGACAUGAAGUGACUGUUGUCUGGUUCUCUUCAAAAGUUUGUUUAGGGAAUUAUCUUUAAUGUUUAGACAUGCCUAAGUUUUAUCAUACUCUCUCCUCUGUAUGUAACUUGGUUGCUAAGAUCAGCUAAGAUCACCUUUUUGUUGCCAAGAGCUUUUAGCUGAUUUGACUAUUUAUCUCUUAUGAUAAGUUCAAUAUAUCUGUUUGUCUGCUAUUAUUAGCAUAUAGUCGAAGUCUCGAAGAGUCUGUGCUUCCCAAUAUACUAAAGUGUUUCCUGUGAUGUGACAUACAUUUACUACUUAUCCAUAGUUUAGGUUGAUUUGAGCUGAGAAUUGGAUCUUAGUCAAGAAAUUGAGUUUGUUGUAGCAUGAACUGAUUGGUGUCUGAUUCUAUUCAACAACUUGAUUAGUGAAUUUACCUUUUAUGUUUAGUUGCUAAGAUCAUCGUUUGUUGCCAAGAGCUUUGAGCUGAUAUGAAUUUUAAUCUCUUUUGAUAUGUUCACUAUAUCUGCUUCCCAUUAUACUAUUUUGUAUGCCUGUGACAUAUACUUGCUACUUAUCCAUGUUUACUUUGUCUUGUUUUCACGCUAGAUCUGUGUUCUGGGCUUUGUUUGGUGCAAUCUAUCUAUGCUACGGGAUGCCGGAAGUGUACCGUGUGCUUUUCGAGGUGUUUGGGAUGGAUCCAGAUGCGGAUGAUUGCCAGCCUCGAGCUAGGAGACAGCUUGAGGAUGUAGAUUAUGUCUCUGUUGAGUUCGAAGGCAAGAAGCUAGGCUGGCAAGAUAUUGCUACUUACAAGGUAAAUGAAUCAAAAGCUAUAAAACACACUGUUUAAGUACUUAGACUGAUGAUGAUCACACUUUUGUUUGGUAAUGGUUUCUUCUAGCCUCCUGAAGAUGCUUUGUUCGCACACCCGAGGCUAUUCAGAGCUUGUGUUCCACCAGGAAUGCACCGUUUCAGAGGAAACAUUUGGGAUUUCGACAGCAAACCCAAAGUCAUGCAGGCCUUAGGUUACCCUUUACAGAUGAACGAUAGAAUCCAAGAGAUAACCGAAGCGAGAAACAUCGAGCUUGGACUCGGUUUACAGGUAAAGAGAUCAAUAAACUUUAUCACGCACUAUGUUAAACUUUCCUUCUUUUUAAUACUUUCACUUCCUUCAGCUCUGCUUCUUGCAUCCUUCAAAGCACAAGUUCGAACACCCUCGGUUCUGCUUCGAGCGAUUAGAAUACGUGGGGCAGAAGAUACAGGACAUAGCGAUGGCUGAGCGUUUGUUGAUGAAGCACCUGGACGCGCCUGGCAAGUGGCUGCAAGAGAAGCAUAGGCGUUUGUUGAUGAACAAGUUCUGCGGUCGGUAUCUGAGGGAGAAACGUCUUCACAACUUUAUAAUCUACUCGGAGGAGGUUCACGAUCGGUAUGAGCAUAACCGGAGACUUAGGAAUCCUGCGACGACAGCUGUUCAGCAAGCUAUUCACGGACUAGCGUAUACCGUCUAUGGAAAGCCUGAUGUUAGGAGGCUCAUGUUUGAGGUUUUCGACUUUGAGCAGAUUCAGCCUAAAGCUAUCGUCUGAAAAAGUCUAUUUUACGUGUAGCAUCUCCAUAUUUGGUAUAUGUUGGUGUAUUUAGAGAUACUUUAAAACAUUUGAUUUGACUAUUUACGUUUCUUUUUGAACUAGAGAGUUAAUCGUGUUUGAUCUGAAUCAAUUCAAAAAUGAAUAGUCUAAAAUUACGUGAUGAUUACAAGAUCAGAAAAUGAGAUGCAUUACAUUAAGCCUUUUGUUAUUUGUGUAGGGUGAGGGGAGCAAGCGAACCAAAAAUUCAAAUUCAGACAAUGGAGCUGCCAGGAGAAAUAAGCUAUAGGUGGUUUAACUCUCCUCUACAUUUUUAAACAGCCCAAGUCACUUAAUGGGCCUGUGGGCCUCAUGCAAGAAAGCUUUUCACAUAUCUAUAGCCCAAGAUAUUCAACCCUAAACGGUCACACAUCAGUUUUCCACCGUUGGAUGAAGACUCCAUCGGCGCCGUUCAAAUCAAAAUUAGAAAAAUCAGACCGUUGGGAGAGAAACCGCUCAUCUUCCUCAAGAAGCCUCCUUUAUAGAGGCCCCACUUUUAAUACUAAUCAUCGGAAGAAGAAGAAGAAGAAGAGAGAAAAUACUAACGAAAAUGAUGGCGUCUCGAUCGAUCGUUCCUCAGCAAACCACGGGUAAGACGAGUUCUGUUCUUGAAUUUCUUGUUAUAUCUAGUGAAUUAAUUUUUAAUUACCUGUGGUUGAUUUUGAUAAUUGAAUCUAAAAGAUGUGAACUUUGUUUUGUGUGAAGAAGGUGAUGUUGUUGUUAUAGUGGAAGACGAUGACAAGAACGCUGCGAAAGGAAGAAACCGUCAGGUUCUUCGUGAUAUAGGCAAUGUUGUUCGACGAAAUCACCCAAAGAACAACGACCCGGCUAAGACCAAUCAUCCUCGUACGCGGUCUCAACACGCCCCACUCGUUGAGGUAACACAUCUCAAAGUUUGUUCCUUUUUGUGUAGAUCUGAUAAUAAUAGCUCAUGUUAAUAUCGUUUUGGCAUUUGCAGCUUGUUAAACCUGUGGCGAGGAGAGUCGCUGUGGCGGUACCAAAGCCAAGGAAAAGAGCUGAGAAGCCAAAGGAUGUAGAGGUUAUAGAGAUAAGCUCAGACAGUGAUGAAGAACUUGGUUUAGUUGCUGUCCAGGAGAAGAAAGCCGCCGCAGCCGCUAAGAAGAAAACAACAGUCUCUUACACAUCUGUUCUCACCGCUAGAAGCAAGGUUAACAUUAGAGUAAUGAUUCUUUUCAUACGUUAAAUGUUUGGUCUGUUCUGAAAAUUUCUGUUUGCUAUUAUUCACAGGCUGCUUGUGGUUUAAAGAAGAAAGAAGAGAUUGUUGAUAUCGAUUCUGUUGAUGCUAAGAACGACCUUGCAGCUGUUGAAUAUGUGGAAGAUAUCUACAGCUUCUACAAGUCUGUUGAGGUUCGUACUUAACUUACUUACUAUACAUGAAUCUUUCCUUGUGACACUUGUAUUAAUGAUUCAACAUUGGCAGAGUGAAUGGCGUCCAACUGAUUACAUGAGGUCACAGCCUGAGAUUAACGAGAAGAUGAGACUGAUUCUCGUUGAAUGGUUGAUAGAUGUGUGCGUCAGAUUCGAGCUAAACCCUGAGACGUUUUACCUCACAGUUAACAUCAUGGAUCGGUUCUUGUCGGCUAAGCCUAUACCUAGAAAAGAGCUGCAGCUGGUUGGUCUCAGUGCUCUUCUCAUGUCAUCCAAAUACGAAGAGAUCUGGCCACCACAGGUGGAGGAUCUAGCUGACAUUGCAGACCACGCAUACAGUCACAAACAGAUUCUGGUGAUGGAGAAGACAAUACUGUCUACACUCGAGUGGUACUUGACGGUUCCGACACAUUACGUCUUCCUCGCACGUUUCAUCAAAGCUUCCAUUGCAGACCAACGAGUAAGAGAUCUUUUAUUACAGACUCUUCUUCCAUGGUUUUGUUAGUUUCUCAACUGGUUCUUGUUUUUAUGUCUUUCAGAUGGAGAAUAUGGUGCACUAUCUGGCUGAGUUAGGAGUAAUGCAUUACGACACGACCAUAAUGUUCAGCCCAUCACUGGUUGCUGCAGCUGCAAUCUACGCAGCGAGAUCAGCUCUUCACCAAGUUCCCGUUUGGACUAGCACUCUCAAGCAUCACACCGGCUAUUCUGAGACUCAGCUCAUGUGAGUGUGUAAAACAAAAGAUCCUUUCCAUUUUUCUCCAUCUUCAUCAAGCUGAUGAUUGUUUUACAAUGAUGAUACAGGGAUUGUGCGAAGCUAUUGGCGUUUCAGCAGUGGAAGCAGCAGCAGCAACAAGAAGAAGGGAGUGAGAGUAAGAAGGGAGCUUUACGAAAGAAGUACUCCAAGGAAGAAAGGUUCGGUGUGGCUAUGAUCCCCCCGGCCAAAUCUUUGUUGACCGGAACCGACUCUGCUUAGGAGUUUAUAAAGAAGAUGAAAUAAUCUACUACUAGAUAUGGCUUUUCAUUAGAUUUAAAGUUUUGUAUAAGUCUAAUGAGUUACUUUGAAAACAUAUAUUCUCUAUUGAAUGAAUCCAAAUGCUUCUUAUCAUCAUGAUUCGUAUCUUUUAGUUGCGUCUCAAGAACAAACGAGGAGUUAUAUAACUUAUAAAUAAACCGACCGGUCGAGAUUUGGUUCAAUUCUCUAUUCAAAGAACCUUUUGUUGCCGCUUCAGCAUUGGCAUCAAGGUUGGUGUUCGAGCUCAAUCUUUUCUUGACAUGUGUAUGCCACACAUUUUUUUAUCUCGUUGUCAGUUCGUUCUGGCAAUUUAGAAGCAAUCUUGGACCACCUGAAACCAAAAUGAAGGAAAGCUAUUGUCAGGACAGAAUCCAAACGUUGAGGCAAGACAAGCCACCAACAAGAUAACACAUACUUGCUUCCAAUGCUCUGGUGAAGUUUAACGAUGGUUUCUUCUUCCUCUACGCUGAAAUUUCCACGUUUCACAUCAGGUCUGAGAAGACGACAACUCAUGCCACACCUCAACAAUCCUUCAUUCAUUACAUGCAUACAUGGAUAGACAUAAGAUUACAGAACCAGAAGAUUUCAAAAAGCCUAAGGAAGACCAAGGCUUUAAGAUCAGAAACAUUACCAGCUUGGUUAGGGAGAGAUCUCCAGUUCUUAUGACCAUACUUUCUGAAUGAAAGAGAUGAGUUUCAGGUCUUCGUCGUAGCUCCAUGGUCCUCUCUUCACUUUGGUUUUGUCACAACAUGGCGCUCUUCCUUUGCCCAUUUUCUCUACUCUCUCUCACACACACUUUUGAGUUUCCUUUUACCAAAUCAAGUUGGUCCUAUGUGUAUUUAUACAAGAAAUUGGUGUGUGUUCCUGACUUUUAGAAAUAUGUUAUAAACAAAAGACAAUGACAAUGGUCAAAUCAGAUUUGUUUAAAUUAAUUACUAUCUAUAUUUGUGGUUGAAUGUCACAUGAUUCCUUCUUUCCUAAUUAUACACUUACCAUUUGUAUGUCAAAAUAAAUAGUAAUUAUGUUAUAAAAUAUUUUCCCACAUUGCAUUAUCAAUAUGUUUUGAAAUUUCAGUUGAGUCUCACAAUUCCUAGUCAAUCUAAAACAUCUUAAAAUGCCUAUGAUGAUAUAAUUGUGAUUAUGUCGUUCUAUAAAAAGAAUUGACUAUUAUUAGAGAUAAAUUUCUCUGAUACUUAUCUUUUGUUUUUUCAUGAUUACUAUUAGAGAUAAAAAUUGCUCUAAAGUUCAUUACUUUUCUUUAUGCCAAUGAAGGGAAGAAAUGCCAUUCUUUGAGGUUUGCUUGACUUGAAUGUGAAUUGUGAGACAUGUUCCUUCUACUCCCAACCCUUUUUCUACUUGGGUCAAGUUAACCAAGCCAACUUAACAUAACUAUCUUGGACAUUAAAAUAUAUUUAUCUUUAUAUCUAAUUUGGAUAUUUUUAUUUGUAUGGGGAUGUAGUUUAUACGACAGUAGAUAGAUAUCAUGCGUUUAGAAUCACAGUAUCCUGAAUCGAUCGGAAGGUUAAUAAAUUCACUUUCAAUUGAUUAUAUUUAAAGUGUAUAAUUGUUUGCUUUAUAUAUUAACUGUAGUAUUUUAUGACAAGUAAGUAUAUUCAAUUCGAUUUUUGUAGGUGCAUAGAAAAUUAUAUUUAAAGUAUAUAAUUGUUUGCUUGAUCAAAUGUAUGUCGAUAGACGUUUUUUUUAAUUAUUUGGAACUACUUUAUAUAAAGACAACUACUUUAUGCAUGAUUUUUGUUUAACCAUUCAAUUUUCUCUAAAUAGGAGAUCGACGAUAAAAUCUUCAAAUGGAAUGGCGAAUUGGCGAAAGUGGAACAACAAUAUUCAUCUUAUAUUGUACAUUACUAGUACAUUUUUAGAAACAUACCGAUAUCAGUCAACAAUAUACCAAGACUUGACUGAAAGAUUGGAGAAUGGAUGUUACAAAGGUAGAAAUCUUAUCCUGAUGUCUGGUGAUAGGUAAUUUCGCAGCAAAUUGGAGCUUUUGUCAACUUCAUUAAAUCGGGAUACUGUGGUUUACUUAACAGCCACGCUGCAUCUGUCAACAUAACUACAGUUUUCCUGGGAGCUCCGAUAUGGCAUUGUGUCCUAAAAACGGCAUCACAAAAAAAAAAAGAGAGAAAAAUGCCAAGAAGGAUAAGAAGAAUAUCAUUUUGGAAACCAGCGACGACGAAAUGUGAAGACGACCUGAACUAUUAUUACUAAUUUUAUAUUAUGUAGCUGAGACUUGUUGAGCGAUGAGGUAGUCAUAGAAAAUUGAGUAAUGGUUUCUUUGUUCUUGCAAUUCUAAAAAUCGGUCUAGGCGGCGCCUAGGCCCCCGCAUAGGCGGCAACUUGGUCUUAUCCGAAAUGAUUUUCUUAAAAUCUAAUUUAUACCGAUUUAUAUGAUUCAAAUUGCUUUAAACUGUUCUAAAUCAGUUAAAAUUGGUUAAAAUCGAUCUAAAAUUGUCUAUAUAUGUUAAAUUAAGCAAUAAUAUUUUUACAAAUGUACAAAUUUGUCUACUUUCUUCUGUUUUGUAUAUCUAAUUUUGAUAAUUUCAUCACAAUAAUUUUAUAAUUAAACUUAAAAACUAAAAUAUGUCAUACAAAUGUAUAAAAUAUAUAAAAUAAAUCAAUAAUUUGAUAACGCCUAGGCCUCGUCUAGGCCCCGAAUAAUCCGCCUAGUCGCUAGUCUUCUAUAAAGCGCCUAGUUACCGCCUAGCGAUUUUAGAACAUUAUGCAAAACAAUUAUAUUAUGGGCUAUAUAAACUUAUGGACCAACCAAAGAUUUUUUAUAUUAUCAUAAUAUGAUUUAUAAGCAAUUAAUUAACAAAAAUUCUUAAUCUAUACUAUAUUAAAAUUGAAACUAUAAGCCAAAUCGCCAAUCAUAUUAUGACAAAUUAUCAUGUUAAUUUGUUAUUUCUAAAAAUGUUUAUAUUACCAAAAAUCAUUUAUUUCAAAAUAAAAUGUAAAUCAAUGUCAAAUAUAAAAAACUUACAAAAGUAAAAAUUAUUUAGAAUCUACUAGAACUUUUUGUAACUCUCAUAAUGACGAUGAUUCUUUGUUAGCAUAAAGAUCGACUUCAUCUUCUUGAGAGUCUUGAUGGAGUCAAAUUUGUUUAAGGUUUGUUAGAAUGAAUCUGAACCAUUAAUGGAACUCCAUGUGUCAGGAUCUAAUCAAGAAGUAUUUUCCAUCAGCUCUCGUUUGUAACAUCCUCGUAAAUCCGUUGUAAUCUUGUAAAUAUUCAAACGUUCAUCCUCUUUGCUUAAAAUGUUGGAACCAGUAGAAGGCAUUAGGACAUGACUCUUUAAUUGGGAGAGGCGUAGUAUACUGGGCCGGGGCCCAUUUUAAAAAACAGCGAUGAUGAUUAGUGGGCUCGCACACGUGAGAGGAGACUUGACACGUGUGGGCAUUUUCACUCUUUUUUUCCCUCAAGGAUUUGAUUUCCACCACAGGAAGAAGCACCCCACCCCACCCUCUCUUCCCAAAAGUCUUCGCAGUUUUCACCACUCUUUGUAGUUCCCGUUUUACCCCGGGCAUCGGAGGCGGGCGCGCUCGUAGCUAAUGGAGACGGCGGCGGCAUCGGAGCGAGUCGAAUUGGCGAAGCACUGCAGCUCGCGGAACUGGUCUAAAGCGAUUAGAGUUCUCGAUUCGCUCCUUGCUAAGCAGUGCUCGAUUCUCGAUAUAUGGUUGGUGUUCGCUGAUCUUCAAUUCAAUUCAAUUCAGAUCGGUAUCAAUUUUGAUUCUCUAUUUCAAUUUCAGCAAUCGAGCUUUUUGUUAUAAUCAAUUGGAGCUUCACAAGCAUGUGAUUAAGGACUGUGACAAGGCACUUCAGCUCGACUCUUGUGCCAUUCAAGCUUAUCUACUCAAAGGUUAGCUCAGCUUUUGAUUACUCUGGGAUUGAGUAAGCUUUGAGAAUCAUUGGUUCUUCAUGUAUGUAGGACGAGCUCUUUUGGCUUUGGGGAGAAAACAGGAAGCUCUUCUUGUUUUGGAGCAAGGUUACAAUAUUGCUUUGCAGCAGACUUCAGAUGUGAAGCAGCUACUUGAAUUAGAUGAGCUACUUAAUGCUGCAAGGCCAGAGAUUGAUGUCACUCUGAACCAUCUUGCAGCUGAGACCCCUGUCUCCUCGUGUGCUACUCAGAAAAUUGAUAACUGCCAAGUAUCCACUAGUAUGGCAGUUUCUGAAUCAGGAGCAUGCAGCAACGGAAACACCCAUGAGUUGGGUGAGAAAUCAAUGGAUGCAUCCAAGCUAUCUGGUGGUGCCUCCGAGUUACGUAAUGGAUUAGCGUAUAAGGAAAAAGAGAAUGUAAAUUCUGGUAGCCAAAUCAACGGUAAACCAUCUAGUAAUGGUUCUGAAACUUCUGAUCGAUUAGGGGAUCUCUCGGUUAUUGGAAAUAAGUUAAGUAGCAAGUCCGGAUCUGUUAGCAAACAGAGCCUUACAGCUGAGGCACGUUCUGGAGGUAGCAAUGAAACCAAGAUAAAUAAUAACAAGUGCACCAUUGCGAGAAUAUCUGAAACCCACUCUAUAAGUGUGGAUUUUCGACUUUCCAGAGGCAUUGCACAGGUAUAGAGAUAGCAUUACAGAAAAAAAAAAUAUCUAUAUAUAUAAGAAAGUGUAUUUUACGUUGUAUCUUACUGGUGUUGAGGUAUUUAGCUUACAAACUCUUAAUCACUGGGCUCUUAGGUGAACGAAGGAAACUACAUGAAAGCUAUAUCUAUUUUUGAUAAGGUGAUUUUUCAUGUACUCCUCUUUUGGUGAUUUUUAUCUCUGGCGAGUGUCUUUUGCUUUUCGUUUCACUAGUUUACCUUGUUCUUAGAGGUUGUUUGGUAGAAAAGAAUGUAUCAGUUUUUUUACCAUUUUAGUUUAUCUUUGUGCACUGCGUAGGUUCUGAAAGAAGAACCUACUUACCCUGAGGCACUUAUAGGAAGAGGGACAGCUUAUGCAUUCCAACGAGACCUUGAAAAUGCUAUUGAUGAUUUUACUAAGGUAUUAUUCGUUUAUUUGACAAGAGUUUUUACCACAGUGGGUUAAGUUCACAGAUUCUUCUCCUAUUGGUCAGGCUAUUCAAUCGAACCCGGCGGCAGGUGAGGCUUGGAAGCGGAGAGGACAGGCGCGUGCUGCUCUUGGGGAAUUUGCUGAGGUUAGUGGUUCCACGUUUUCUCUGUUUCUGUUUUUAUUCAGAGCUAAAAGCAUAGACAUUAAAUGUAUUUGAUGGGCCUAUAUUCGCGCCUUCACAUUCAUUGAUUGAUAAAAAAUAUUUUCUGAUUGAUAUUCAAUCAUUUGGAUUAUCUCUAACUGAUGUCUGUUUUAAAGCCUAUUUAGUGCUUGCAUUUUAUGGGUAAAAAAUCAGAUACGUUUCCUGUACACACUCUUAAGCUACUCUUUGGUGAUAGGCGGUUGAAGAUUUGACUCGAGCACUGGAAUUGGAGCCAAAGUCACCUGAUAUUUUGCAUGAAAGGGGUAAGUGUCUUUAUGAUGUAUUUACUUUUAAAUCUUGCUACCUAUUUCAGUUUUGACAUCUUAAUAACUGCAUUCAGGUUUUAUUACCACUGACUUUCUCAAUUAAUUCAGGUAUUAUUAAUUUUAGAUCUAAGGACUUUACUGCUGCUGUAAAGGACUUAUCUAUAUGUCUGAAGCAAGAGAAAGAUAACAAGUCCGCAUAUACUUAUUUGGUAAGGCUAUCGUCUGUUGUUAUUCUUGGUCUCCGAAGUGACCAUGACCAAGUCUACAAAUGUUUUCUUAACAAAACUUUGCUGAUCUUUCCAGGGACUAGCUUUUGCAUCUCUUGGUGAAUAUACAAAAGCUGAAGAGGCGCAUUUGAAGUCUAUCCAGCUAGAUAGUAAUUAUCUUGAAGCAUGGCUACAUCUCGCCCAGGUAACAUGCAUAACUAGUUUAUAAUUAUGCGUUUUCUGUAGAAUCUUUAACUAUUUAGCUUGACUGUCAUGAAAUAGUAUUUUGUUAAUUGCUUAUUCUUUCUUUCUUUUUUCAAUCUGGGUUUUCAUGCAUAUGAUGAUAAAUAAACGAAGUUAGAUUUCUGUAAAGCUAACGAGACUUCACUGUACUUGAUGUUGUUUCUUGGCUUUUCUUGGCAGUUCUAUCAAGAGUUGGCUGACCACAACAAGGCUUUGGAAUGCAUUGAUCAAGUUCUACAAGUCGACAACAGGUAGCUCUUAAUUGGGAUGAACUAUCACAUGUUGCACACUAUUUUGGGUUCGCCAUCGUAGUCAUGGAGAUUUUCCUGUCUUGACCAGGGUCUGGAAGGCUUAUCAUUUGCGUGGAUUAGUGUUCCAUGGAUUAGGUGAACACAGGUAUGUAUCGCUAUUCGCUAGUUAGACUAAGAUUACUGGAAAGUGAAAAUUUGGUUAAAGGGGAAAAUAUACCUUUGUUAAUGUGCAUGUUACCCAACUCUCCCUACUUCGAGAUAUGAUGUCUAAUAAGAUUUUCUUCCCCUUGCUCGUGGUGUUAAAAUAUCUGCGUUUGAGCAACAGGAUGUUCUAACGGAAACUGAUAAUUUGGUGGUCAUAAUCACAUUGGAUUUAUCGACAAGGAUAGUCUUUAAAGCAGUAAUAUUAUUAACAUGUAGUUGUUUGUGGUAAUUUUAUUUUUUCAGGAAGGCUAUCCAAGAAUUAUCUAUUGGUUUGACCAUUGAGAGUUCAAUAGAAUGCUUGUACCUACGAGGUUCCUGCCAUCAUGCUGUAGGGGAGUAUAGAGAAGCGGUAAAUGAUUAAAUAUUUAUAUGUCAACAUUAUUGCUGCAGUUUAUAAGGAGACUCUCUUAUUAUUACUCGCAUAUCCUCACAGGUGAAGGACUACGAUGCUACAGUGGAUGUGGAACUUGAUGCUGUGGAGAAAUUUGUUCUUCAAUGCUUGGCAUUUUAUCAGGUUCCAAAAUAUGUUUUUCUUUGUUAAUAAUCCAGAGGUUGCCUUGAUUGAAAGCUUAAAUUGAAAUGUUAUGUGCAAAAUUACUGUCUUGGUACAUUCUCUUUGUAGCAAACCUGUAAUGAUAGGAUAUUGCGUUGCUACUUUCUAAUAGCAUGGCCUUAUUUAUCUGAUAAUACUGCUUCGUUGUUUCUUUGUACGUUAAUAUUGGAUGCUUCAUAUGUUGCAACGCUAAACAUUUCCUUCACAAUUAAUAGAUAUGUUAUCCUUUUUUUAUCCCGCAGAAAGAGCUCGCCUUGUAUACGGCUUCCAAAGUUAGUAGUGAGUUUUUCUGCUUUGAUAUUGAUGGUGACAUAGAUCCAAUGUUCAAGGUGAUAUAUCUCUGUCGAUAUUUCUGAUAUCUCCGUUAUGAGAUGACUAUGAGUGCUCUCAAGUGAUGUAUGUGAUUUUCUUUUCCUGUGGGUUUACAGGAGUACUGGUGCAAAAGAUUACACCCAAAAGAUGUAUGUGAAAAGGUUUACAGACAACCUCCCCUACGAGAAUCCCUUAAGAAGGGUAAACUGAAAAAGCAAGAUCUUGCAAUAACCAAACCUAAGGCGAAUCUUCUUCGUUUUACUGAUAUGAUUGGAAAGAAAAUCCAAUACUUUUGUCCUGGAUUCUUACCGAACAGACGCCAGGUAACUUGGAGUAGCUACCUCAACAUUCUCUUUUUUCUUGUCCCAGAAGGUCCCUGCUGCAUCUAUCUAUCUAUAUAUAUAUCCCCUCUAUACUCUAUUAUGCAUAUAAUUGUACGCCUAGCCUCUCCUGGCUAAACUAUCAUGGUUACGUCCCAUUAAUCAUUUGUGUUUCCAUGAUUUUCCAGCACCGUAUGGCGGGAUUAGCUGUGUUAGAAAUUGCUCAAAAGGUUUCAAAAGCUUGGCGCAUAGAGUGGAGGAAUUCAAACAAAGGCACGGCAAAAAAUGGGAAGAAAAACCGUAGGAGAGAGAGAAUCAACAUGCUUAGCCAGAAUAGAGGUGGUGCCGGAUGUAGUACGAGCACUUCCAGUGAAACUUCAACUGGAUAUGCCUCACUAGAAGAUCGAUCAUCUGGCCGCUCUAUCUUGUCUUGGCAAGACGUUUAUUCGUCUGCUGUCAGAUGGAGACAAAUUUCAGAGCCUUGUGACCCAGUUGUGUGGGUUAACAAACUAAGGUACAUGUUCCAUUUCGAUUGCUAUAUAAGUAGGUGUAUCUAAUGAUUCUUAGAACAGAAGCCUCUUGCCAUCUUUAAGUCUCUGAGCUUCAGUUUCUGAACUUAACUUUCAUUUGAUUAUUUAUGCAAUUUGCAGCGAAGAGUUUAAUUCUGGUUUUGGUUCUCAUACGCCAAUGGUACUCGGACAAGCUAAAGUAAUACGCUAUUUUCCAAAUUAUGAAAGGUACAAUGUUUACAUAGAACGUGAGCAUUUUUUCAUGUAUUCAUUCGUGGAUUUUUCUCUCUCCCAUGGAAUGAUCAAUUUCCAUAAUAUACUAUUGUAGAACCCUGAAUCUUGCAAAGACCAUCAUCAAGGAGAAGCUCUGUGUACGCAGCAAGGCAGAUAAAGUGAUUGAUCUAUCUAAAGAUGAGAAGAUAGAAGAAGUCAGUCUUUCUAUUCUUCGUGCGUGAAUGUGAAUGAGUCUCGUUUAUCAUAUUGUUAUCUUACUGAAAUUGGCCAAUGGGAUGCAGAUAAUGCGUGCAGAAACGUGUGAAGAGCUACACAAAAUUGUUGGUGAGGAUUUCUGGGUGGCUACUUGGUGCCACAGUACCGCAUUCGAAGGGUAAAAUUUGUUUGUUUAUUACUAUAAAACCACAAGUCUUCUCUUCACCGUUGCAGUUUUUUUUAACCUUGACUAUGCUUCCUCUUUUGGUUACUAUCUUCAGGAAACGCCUUGAAGGAACUAGAAUCACCUGCAUUAAGAAACCGUAAUCUAUCCUUCUACGCCAAUCAUUUUCACAUAAACCCUGAUUACCACUUUCUUCAAUUAAUAUCUCUUUGUUCUCUUAAUCCAGGGGAAGUCUUGGGUAUGAUUUUGCAAUUAGAACUCCAUGCACACCUGCGAGGUGGAGUGAUUUUGAUGAAGAAAUGACCUCAGCUUGGGAGGUAUAACACACCUAAGCAUUAUAGUUUACUUUUAUUUUCUUCAUUCCGAGAAAACAAACUUCAAAAAUCUCCAUAUGAAUCCCACAGGCUUUAUGCAAUGCCUACUGUGGAGAGAAUUACGGUUCUACCAACCUCCAGGCUCUAGAAACCGUGAGAGACGCUAUCUUGCGCAUGACAUACUACUGGUAAACUAAUCAAACUUAAAACAUAUGGUUACUGAUUGAUUACUCAGAACGUGUUGGGUGUUUGUCUUUGGCAGGUACAAUUUUAUGCCGUUAGCUCGAGGGACAGCGGUAACGGGAUUCGUAGUGUUACUAGGACUUCUGCUAGCUGCUAAUAUGGAGUUCACUGAGAGUAUCCCUAAAGGGUUACAGAUCGAUUGGGAAGCUAUACUUAGUGUUGAACCUGGUUCCUUUGUUGGUUCGGUUAAGUCUUGGUUAUACCCGUCUUUGAAAAUCAACACCUCGUGGAAAGAUCACCAGGAAGUUUCCUCGGCUUUUUCAACAACCGGAUCGGUUGUCGCGGCGCUUAGCACUUACAAUGAUUGAGUUUCACAAUCUUGUCUCUUCAUGUCGUAAGAGGUGAAGAAAGCUAACCAACCAGAAUGAGCAGCGAGAAAACUUGUGUUUCAGUCAUAAAUCUUCGGGUUUAUGAUAUGUUUGUGUCGUAGAAAACAAACAAACAAAAUUGAUAGGUGUUUUUUCUUUAUUUUACAUAACUCAUAUAACUUUAUUUUACAGUUUGAAUAAUGUAUCUCUAUAUUAUAUGAACUCUCUUUGCAAAUCACAAGUCCACAUGAGUGUGUUGCUUAUGAUUAGCGAGGCCUUGUACUAUUACUAGUCUAAAAUAAUGGCAUUCACCAUUAAUACCGUGAUUAGUAUGAAGCUUGUUUAUUCUGAAAUUAUAUUCCUGAUUGUUUUUUUUUGUUUUUGUUUUUGAAAAAGGGCUUACAAAUUUUUAAUUGUUUUUCAUCCCAAAUACUAGUUUGUUUAAGAUUUGAGUCAAAACCUGUAAGAAAGUCAACGGACGAGCCAUUCGGUUUGGGUGUUCUCCACCACCGACAGGGCCGCUCUCGAAGUUUCGGCUUGGGUCCAUUGUCUUUACUCUGGAACACUUUUGUAAUAAAAUAAUAUCAAUCUUAAUGCUUCUGUUUCAUAAAAAUACAUGUUUUAGAAAAACAAAACUAUUCCAAAAAAAAAAUAUAUAUAUAUUUAGUGCAUAUUUUAUUAAUUAAUUAUGAUUAAUUCCAGAUUUCAGAUUUCACAAAAUUUAAUUACACUUAUUAAAUAUUUAUUGGUUUAAAAUAAUAAAAAACCAUAAUCAUAAAAAUUCAUAUAUAUAUAAAUAAGAUUUAAUAUAUUUUAUUAAUAUGUGUGAGAAAAUUAAAAAUAUGUAUUUUUUGAAAUAAAUAGAGUACUAAAUUAGUCAUUGGAAAAAUGGUAAGAAGCAAAAUCUUAAUUCCUAAGCAAUACAUGUCUUCGUAGACAGUUGAUUCGGUUUCCAUUGCUGUAUGCAUAUUUAUUUCCAAUCUAUCGAUUACUCAAUGCUCAUGGGAUGAGGAUUUAAGGAAAAUAAGUUUUUGAAAAAUAUAAUGAAUGAAAGUGUUAGUUGUUAUAGAAGUCAUAAUGAGCUGUAAUUUUUUAAAAUAAUGCAAAGAAAUAAAUUUAGGAAAAAAAUAUUUUCUACCAACACAAAAAGGAAAAGAAAAUUUGAGAAAGAUAGACAAUGCCAAAAAUAUUAUAUUAGUAAUUGAAAGAAAUCUUGAUAUUACUGCUAGAGGAGAUGUAUGUGUGGUAUCAAUCAAUGAUUUGUCUUUCCCUCUAUACAUUUCAACCAAAUACAUUGUUUGUUUAAACAUUUUUAUUUUUGCAUUUUUCGUUGUUUUACUAGAUUAAAUUAUUUUAUUUUGCAUAAGAAUUUACAUAAUUUUUAUCAUGGACAUUAUAAUAGUUUUAUCACUGAUAAUAUUUCCACACUUGUCAUGAAAAUUAGACACUUAAUUUUUUUUUUUGAUAAAAAAAUAUCAGACAAUUAUAAUAGAAUAAAAUAACUGUAAAAAUAAAGCUAGUGAACCCUACAUAAAUAAAAUACAAAAAAGAUAAAGCUAUCGAACGGCAUUUACAGGAUAUAGGUCUACACUCAACGGCUACAUCUGUCGGUGAUAUUUUUCUGAUCAACGGUCCGAAUCUCUUUUCAUCGACUAUAUAUUAAACACAAACCAUUCUCUUUCACCAACACACAACACUAUUGAUCAAAAUCAUUUACUUUUACAUCCUUCACUCAUUUAUUUUUUAAGUUCUUUUCUUCUUUUUUUUAUUGAAAUACUAAAAGAAACAUGGAACGUAAUGUCCUCCUAACGGUUACAUUGAUCUGCAUUGUCGUCGCCGGUGUCGGUGGCCAAUCUCCGGCUUCCUCUCCGACUAAAUCUCCCGACGCUCCUUCUACUCCAACUACUUCUCCCUCCUCCCCACCCGUGGAAGCACCGAAAUCUCCAUCUCCUGUUACCUCGUCUCCGCCGCCAGCUUCUGUUCCCGAGAGCGCUCCUCCGUCACCUCCACCAAAGGCUUCAGCUCCGGUGAGAUCUCCACCGGCUUCAGUACCCGAAGCUGCUACACCUCCAGCUCCGGUAGCCGAUGCACCGGCUCCAAGCAAGGGUAAGAAGCAUCAAAACGCGACGGCUCCGGCUCCCGAACUUGACAGCCCACCUUCACCACCGAUGGAAGCUCCUGGUCCUAGCUCCGACGCCGUGUCUCCUGGUCCGGCCACAUCCGCCAACGAAA
rnacentral:lncRNA from 1 species